AACGAACGCUGGCGGCAGGCUUAACACAUGCAAGUCGAACGCGUGUAGCAAUACACGAGUGGCGCACGGGUGAGUAACGCGUGGAUAUCUGCCUUUUGGUUCGGAAUAACCCCGGGAAACUGGGGCUAAUACCGGAUGGUUCCUACGGGAUAAAGAUUUAUCGCCAAAAGAUGAGUCCGCGUACGAUUAGCUAGUUGGUGGGGUAAUGGCUCACCAAGGCGACGAUCGUUAGCUGGUCUGAGAGGACGAUCAUCCACAUUGGGACUGAGACACGGCCCAGACUCCUACGGGAGGCAGCAGUGGGGAAUAUUGGAAAAUGGGGGCAACCCUGAUCCAGCCAUGCCGCGUGAGUGAUGAAGGCCUUCGGGUUGUAAAGCUCUUUUGGCGGGGACGAUGAUGACGGUACCCGCAGAAUAAGCCCCGGCUAACUUCGUGCCAGCCGCCGCCGUAACAC
rnacentral:rRNA from 1 species